rnacentral:rRNA from 1 species
CCUACGGUGAGCAGCAGUCGAGAAUCAUUCACAAUGGGGGAAACCCUGAUGGUGCGACGCCGCGUGGGGGAAUGAAGGUCUUCGGAUUGUAAACCCCUGUCAUGUGGGAGCAAAUUAAAAAGAUAGUACCACAAGAGGAAGAGACGGCUAACUCUGUGCCAGCAGCCGCGGUAAUACAGAGGUCUCAAGCGUUGUUCGGAAUCACUGGUCGUAAAGCGUGCGUAGGCUGUUUCGUAAGUCUUGUGUGAAAGGCGCGGGCUCAACCCGCGGACGGCACAUGAUACUGCGAGACUAGAGUAAUGGAGGGGGAACCGGAAUUCUCGGUGUAGCAGUGAAAUGCGUAGAUAUCGAGAGGAACACUCGUGGCGAAGGCGGGUUCCUGGACAUUAACUGACGCUGAGGCACGAAGGCCAGGGGAGCGAAAGGGAUUAGAUACCCUGGUAGUC